AGCAGCCGCGGUAAUUCCAGCUCCAAUAGCGUAUAUUAAAGUUGUUGCAGUUAAAAAGCUCGUAGUUGAAUUUCGGGGUUAGUAGGUUGGUCGUGCCACUGGUAUGUACUGGCCUCACUGAUUCCUCCUUCUUGAAGAACCGUAAUGCCAUUAAUUUGGUGUUGCGGGGAAACAGGACUGUUACUUUGAAAAAAUUAGAGUGUUUAAAGCAGGCUAACGCUUGAAUACAUUAGCAUGGAAUAAUGAAAUAGGACGUUCGAUCCUAUUUUGUUGGUUUCUAGGAUUGACGUAAUGAUUAAUAGGGAUAGUUGGGGGCAUUAGUAUUCAAUUGUCAGAGGUGAAAUUCUUGGAUUUAUUGAAGACUAACUACUGCGAAAGCAUUUGCCAAGGAUGUUUUCAUUAAUCAAGAACGAAAGUUAGGGGAUCGAAGACGAUCAGAUACCGUCGUAGUCUUAACCAUAAACUAUGCCGACUAGGGAUCGGAUGAUGUUAAUUUUUUAAUGACUCAUUCGGCGCCUUACG
rnacentral:rRNA from 1 species